CAAUAGCGUAUAUUUAAGUUGCUGCAGUUAAAAAGCUCGUAGUUGGAUUUCGGGUGGGAAUGGCCGGUCCGCCGUUUCGGUGUGCACUUGCUACGCCCACCUUGCUGCCGGGGACGUGCUCUUGAGUUCACGCUCGGGACACGGAGUCGGCGAGGUUACUUUGAGUAAAUUAGAGUGUUCAAAGCAGGCCUACGCUCUGAAUACAUUAACAUGGAAUAACACGAUAGGACUCUGGCCUAUCUUGUUGGUCUGUAGGACCGGAGUAAUGACUAAGAGGGACAGUCGGGGGCAUUCGUAUUUCGUUGUCAGAGGUGAAAUUCUUGGAUUUACGAAAGACGAACUACUGCGAAAGCAUUUGCCAAGAAUGUUUUCAUUAA
rnacentral:rRNA from 1 species